rnacentral:hammerhead_ribozyme from 1 species
GUUCAGCUGAGGAGUUCCAUAUAGGACGAAACACUCAUCCUGGAU